CAGAUCACGAGGAAAUUCCCUACUCAGUAGUUGCUGAAACGCUGCAGACAUCUCCCGACGAAGUAGAAAAAUGGGUAAUUGCUGCAGUUUCUUCGGGACUUUUGAAUGCUAAAAUGGAUCAGUUGCAAGAGAAAGUCCUUGUGGAACGAAGCGUAGUCAGAAAGUUUGAAAUGGAACAAUGGAAAGCCCUGCAAGCAAGACUCCAUCUAUGGAAGCGUAAUGUUG
rnacentral:ribozyme from 1 species